GUGUCUCUUGUGUUCCGCUUCAGACCUAGGGCCGCUUUCUAGCGAGAGGGUGUUUGGAGGAUUCUCUCUUCCGUCUGACUCAUCGAACAAACCCGCCGUCCCUCUGCUGCAAGAACUGUGCAGAAGGCCUUCAGGUGCUGAGAUCCAGGGCCCUUCCUCAGUCCCACCUGCCAGUCAAGUCAUGUGCCCAUCCGCAGUUGAGCCGUUUCCCCAAUUCCUCGCCCCGGAGUUCCGCUAGUAACGUACUUCACAAACGCGACGGCAUCCGUCGGGUAGCUUUUUAUGGUCGUCCUCUAGUCUUUUAGACAUUGAUAAUCCUUACAAUUUUGUACUUACUUCCUGAUCCGAACGUAGUCCUUGAGAAAGAGAAGGUUCAGAUGCGGAACAGCGGGCUCGGACGUGAACGUCAAGGAAGUAAAGGACGUGGUUAGCUGGCUGGCGGGCAUUCUCCCUUAUUUUCUCAACCUUUUCUCGACUGGUUGAGAAGUGCAGCUGUUUCAGGUCGUCGUUCCAUUCGUCAUUCCGUUCUUCUUCGGCUUCCAGCAGCUCUUUACCACCUUCAGCUCGGCAGCAAGGAUCCCACAGUUCUUGCUGCAGGGGGGGUCGGAGUCCUCGCAACCGGCUCGUUCCUCCUAAACAACUGCUUUCUUGGCAAAUGGCUGGCAGGUUCGUUCAAGGGCGUCGCACUGGCGGAAGGAGUGGAAGACGGCUCGGCGGCGGACCGGGCCACGACAUCACUGGCGGGUUUGUUCGACACGGGCGGAACGAGGGGCGGACGGCUCUGCGGGGGACCGGGCAACGACCUCACUGGCACGUAGGACUGAGGAAAGGUCCUGGAACGUCCUCCCGAUCACUUCUUGCAUAGCUGCUUCAUCGAUUCACAUCGAGAUGAGGUGCCAUCGGCGGGUAGUGGAACUCUGGGCGAGGAUGAGGAGGGACGUGUCGAGAUCGGUGCUAGGGCGACAGCUGGCUCUGCGCCACAGAAAGUCCGGUGCAGAAGGCCUUCCGGUGCCGAGAUCCAGGGCCCUUCCUCAGUCCCACCUGCCAGUGAAGUCAUGUGCCCAUCCGCAGUUGAGCCGUUUGCCAAUUCCUCGCCCCGGAGU